rnacentral:rRNA from 3 species
UACGGAGGGUGCAAGCGUUAUCCGGAUUCACUGGGUUUAAAGGGAGCGUAGGUGGCUUUGUAAGUCAGUGGUGAAAUAUUGCGGCUCAACCGCAAAACUGCCAUUGAUACUGCUUAGCUUGAAUCACGUCGAGGUGGAUGGAAUAAUACAUGUAGCGGUGAAAUGCUUAGAUAUGUAUUAGAACACCGAUUGCGAAGGCAGUUCACUAGGCGUGUAUUGACACUGAGGCUCGAAAGCGUGGGGAUCAAACAGG